rnacentral:lncRNA from 1 species
CUUUAGACAGUAAGAUUUGGACUUUUCACAUACUUCUAGUUUGUCAAAUCAUUUUUGCAUUGCAACCUGUGGGUUUCUGUCUGUCUCUGUCUCUACGCAAGCAAACUAGCAAUGACUGCUUCAAUCAGCCCUGGUACGAGUGCUGCUGACCCUUCUCCUGCUGCAAGCAGGAAGAUCUUGCAUAAGUACAGAGUGCCUGAGCCAGCAAUCUGCACGGUAACCAACCUUCAGCUCCAGUGAACAGCACCAAGCUCCAGCCUUAGGACACCUGGACUCUAGCAGCUGGUUUCUUUUGUAACUGCCUCCAGCCACACCUUUUGAAAGCACGCUCUUUUUUCUGCCUGCUACAGAAAAACCACAGCACAUUUCUGCAAGAAAUCAAAGGUCUCAAGGAGAGGACUGGCAAACAGCUGCCCUAUCAAGCCAGAGGCCCACACGAGCAAAGCAGAAGGAGGGAGGAGAUGAAGGACAGAGCAUCAGAGGGCAUCAGGAGCAGGAAGUGAAAGCCCUGAAGACAUGGUGGCCGUGAGCCCUUGCUUCCGUUCUCUCCCAUUCCACCUCCACUGCAAAACUGAGAAAUCUGGAAUCAGCUCAGCUCUGUGGCUGUACCUGGAAGUUCAAGUUAGUCUCCAGAAGACGAAACAGAAGAAGAGAAAGAGUGCAAAGCUUCAACAGAUAUUACUGUCCUGCAGUUGUAAGUUAGGGCUGCCCUUUUCAAGGGCAGGAAAAGUACUGCUUCUUGUGCAAGAGCCAGCAUCCCAGGAAGAGCUCCGUCUGAGCCAAAUCAUCACUUGGGUUUGUUACUUACCCUGUGCAUGGUAACCUCUGGCUUAAAACCAAGUUUGCGGCACUUCACUGUAGAAGUGAUGAUGGGCUAAAUUGCUUCCUGAGUGGCACCCACAAAUAAAUAUUAGAGCUGAUCAAACA